UUUCACUUCUGCCCUCUCUCACCCACAGUGCCCAAAUCCUAACCGAAACGGAGCAUGUUAGGCAGGAGGACCUCUUUUUCUUGGUGAGGAAUCCCAAAGACCUAUUUUCUUUAAGGUCUGAAUGAAUGCCUUCCCCUCUGUCUUCCUCAGCUCCCAAAUGGGACAAUUGCUUUUACAAAGGAACGUGCUUAACUUGCAAUCACACCAUGAUCCAUGGUUUAUAGACCAAUAAUGAUGAUCGAUCCGACGAUGCAGGACUUGGUAAGGCAUAGUAGAGAUGGUGGAAUUUUUUCCUAGGUGUGAUGUGGAGUCCUGGGGGAUAUUAGCUGGGUUGUAACAAGAGAUGAAAUAUAGUUUAAAAAUACCCCUUUGGCUGGGAUAUGAUUUAUUCUUGCUGGUUCCUAAAAGGUGAAAGUGGACAAAGGGAGGAAAGUCAGCCCAGGGGUGCGUGGCCCACAGCGUGGCUGCGGGGGAUGGUGACUGCAUGCAAGGAAGGCAGGCUGUGCCAGAGCAGACUGUACCCGUGGGCAGCUGGGACACGUGCAAAGGACACACAUAUCCCAGCUGAUCAGAAGAGCGAAGAAUCCGAGCUCGUCCUCAUUUCUUUGUCACCUCACCAGAACUGAGACUGCUCUGUGGGCUAACUGAAGUCAUGAAGAUUCUUUGGCUGACUUUGACCAUGCUGCUGCUCUUGUCCCAGGGCACUCCAGGCAGCACUGAAAAAUGUUGGAAUCUUCAUGGCAACUGCCGUGACAAAUGCACCAAGACCGAGAAGUUCUAUGUUUUCUGUGUGAGUGGAAAACUGUGCUGUGUGAAGGCCAAGGAGAAGCCAAAUUUACCGUGGCACUGAGUGUGUGCUUUGAAGUCCAAGGCCACAAAACAGAAGAUAAAUCUGUCUUGAGUCUGACCUCCGUAGAUUUCUGAGCUUUAGUAAAACCUGUUUGGCUGAA